rnacentral:rRNA from 1 species
GACGAACGCUGGCGGCGUGCCUAAUACAUGCAAGUAGAACGCACAGUUUAUACCGUAGCUUGCUACACCAUAGACUGUGAGUUGCGAACGGGUGAGUAACGCGUAGGUAACCUGCCUGGUAGCGGGGGAUAACUAUUGGAAACGAUAGCUAAUACCGCAUAAUAUUGAUUAUUGCAUGAUAAUUGAUUGAAAGAUGCUAUUGCAUCACUACCAGAUGGACCUGCGUUGUAUUAGCUAGUAGGUGAGGUAACGGCUCACCUAGGCGACGAUACAUAGCCGACCUGAGAAGGUGAUCGGCCACACUGGGACUGAGACACGGCCCAGACUCCUACGGGAGGCAGCAGGAGGGAAUCUUCGGCAAGGGACGAAAGUCUGACCGAGCAACGCCGCGUGAGUGAAGAAGGGUGUCGGAUCGUAAAGCUCUGUUGUAAGAGAAGAACGGGUGUGAGAGUGGAAAGUUCACACUGUGACGGUAUCUUACCAGAAAGGGACGGCUAACUACGUG